GAUGAAGAACGUAGCGAAAUGCGAUAAGUAGUGUGAAUUGCAGAAUUCAGUGAAUCAUCGAAUCUUUGAACGCACAUUGCGCCCCUUGGUAUCCCGAGGGGCAUGCCUGUUCGAGCGUCAUUUCACCACUCAAGCCUGGCUUGGUGUUGAGCGACGUCCUCUUUGGGGACGCGCCUCGAAACGCUCGGCGGCGUGGCACCGGCUUUAAGCGUAGCAGAAUCUUUCGCUUUGGAAGUCGGGGCCCCGUCUGCCGGAAGACCUGCUCGCAAGGUUGACCUCGGAUCAGGCAGGGAUACCCGCUGAACUUAAGCAUAUCAAUAAGCGGAGGA
rnacentral:misc_RNA from 1 species